ACAACAAUCAGCAAAGUCACAUGGGUCCAGCCAAACUGCAAAAAAAAGAAAAAUAAACACUACUUACCAGUCUACCUUGAAAGUAACUUCAAAAAACCAUCAGUACCAAAUAGAAAAUUGCUGAGAAACAGACUGCUUGUUCCUGUGAGCCAACCAGCGAUCUCUGGCUGCAGCUCAGAAGAAACAAGAGGGAUUGGUGAUGUAAAAAUCUGAAUCAGUACUCUAAUUCUGGGAACAUACUGCAAUCAGCUACCGACCCCAUAUCAGCUUGGUUCCAACAAUUACCCAGUUCAUGGAAAGCCUUCUUUAGUUUACUUGGGAUAGUUUUGCUUAUUUUGCUUUACUGAUAUGGAAUAUAUUGCUAUUGUACUAUUUGUGUAGGAAUGCAGGAUAAGCUUACUCAAAUGUUCUCUUAAACACUUACAAAAUCUUCCAGA